GCCAGUCCAACGGGGACCUCUGGGCACACUGUCUAUCACAGAAGUUCCUACAUGGGCAAAUGGCCAGGUCCUUGACAGCUGCCUUGCUCAGUGAGUGAACAGGAGCUACUGUAAGAUCAGAGUGACCUAAGAUGGAUCGCAGAACUGGACCCCAGUGCAGCUCAUCACUGGAAGCUACUGGAUAACCACACUCCACAUAUGGGCAGCGAGUCCCGGACGAAACUCUCGGCUGUCUGCCAUAGGAUUAUUUAGGCUCCGUGAAGGAGAGCAGAGGAAAUUUGCUACAAGGAUUUCACCAUAGACCUACUUAGACUGGAGAAUUUCAGUAAAAGCUUCCUGACAUUAAAGUGUCCCAGGCUUCUGCGCCCCCUAGUGCAUGAACGCAAGCUCACACCCCUUUAGGAGGGAAGUAUCUUGAAUCCAAGUUCUCUAGAUACACAUAAAUUACUUA